rnacentral:rRNA from 1 species
CAUCGGUGACAGGUGGUGCAUGGUUGUCGUCAGCUCGUGUCGUGAGAUGUUGGGUUAAGUCCCGCAACGAGCGCAACCCCUAUUGUUAGUUGCCAUCAUUCAGUUGGGCACUCUAGCGAGACUGCCGGUAAUAAACCGGAGGAAGGUGGGAUGACGUCAAAUCAUCAUGCCCCUUAUGACCUGGGCUACACACGUGCUACAAUGGUUGGUACAACGAGUUGCGAGUCGGUGACGGCGAGCUAAUCUCUUAAAGCCAAUCUCAGUUCGGAUUGUAGGCUGCAACUCGACUGCAUGAAGUUGGAAUCGCUAGUAAUCGUGGAUCAGCCAAGCCGCGGUCGAAUACGUUCCCGGGCCUU